UACGUAGGGUGCGAGCGUUGUCCGGAAUUAUUGGGCGUAAAGGGCUCGUAGGCGGUUUGUCGCGUCGGGAGUGAAAACUCAGGGCUUAACCCUGAGCUUGCAGUGGGUACGGGCAGACUAGAGUGCGGUAGGGGAGACUGGAAUUCCUGGUGUAGCGGUGAAAUGCGCAGAUAUCAGGAGGAACACCGAUGGCGAAGGCAGUUCUCUGGGCCGUAACUGACGCUGAGGAGCGAAAGCGUGGGGGAGCGAACAGG
rnacentral:rRNA from 1 species